rnacentral:lncRNA from 1 species
CCAUGCUCUUCGUCUUGUGCUUGGUUGUGUCGGGAGCUCCACUGGCAGAGAUGGUCUAGGAGGCCUCCCACUCACAUAUCUCCAGUGUUACAUGCAAUGAUUCCUGUGACUUGCAAUUGGCUUCUCCUGCCCUGUGAUCAUUGACUCAGACUCUUCUCAGCCACAUGGCUCCAAAUAAAAGAGAAGAGGAUUCCCAGGGCUUCAGAGAGGCUGGGAAGCCUUCAGUGGCACCUCCAUUGCAUUGAAUUGGUCAAAGCCAACUGCUCAGGCAACCUAGAAACAAAGAGAAGAGAAAGAGAUGUUUCAGGAGUUUUAAAAAGAAAUCACAACACAAAGAGACCUGCACCAUGGUCACUAUGAUGGUUUACAGUAGUAAACAUCAACAUCGAUUGUGCAAGUUUGCCACUGUCUUGCUGGCAUGGGGACACUGUAACACCUGGAAACACAAUGGAGCCCUACACCCCAAAGCCAUAUCUGGAGAUGUAUAAGCAGGACCUCCACACAACACCUUCAAGGAACGAUGACAGAUUGCAGCUUGAUGUUUUGUGCACCGAAGACUACUUUCACC